CGAACGGGUGAGUAAUGCAUCGGAACGUGUCCGUGUCGUGGGGGAUAGCCCGGCGAAAGCCGGAUUAAUACCGCAUACGCCCGAGAGGGGAAAGUGGGGGACCGCAAGGCCUCACGCGAUUGGUUCGGCCGAUGUCCGAUUAGCUAGUUGGCGGGGUAAAGGCCCACCAAGGCGAUGAUCGGUAGCUGGUCUGAGAGGAUGAUCAGCCACACUGGGACUGAGACACGGCCCAG
rnacentral:rRNA from 1 species